CUUUUUGUCAAGGUGGAGAAAUGCGUAUUCCAUGCACACUCUGUUCCCUUCCUAGGGUAUAUCGUCUCGUCCGAGGGAAUACGUAUGGACCCUGACAAGCCAACUAGCCUCACCUCUGACGGCCUUGACCUCUCCCAGUACUCCGUUCAGGUGGUCGGACGCAGCCGAGACUGCGUUCACUAACCUCAAGAGCCGCUUUGUUUCAGCUCCCAUCCUUGUGGCCCCUGACCCCACACGGCAGUUCGUCGUGGAGGUCGACGCAUCAGAGGUGGGGGUAGGAGCAGUGCUGUCCCAACGUGCUGCCUCGGACGAUAAGAUGGGGAACCGACAUAUUCGGUUAAUCGUAUUCUGGACUCGAGACGGAGGGGACGAGUAUUCCAGUACCUGGUGGACUGGGAGGGUUACGGUCCGGAGGAGAGAAGUUGGGUACCUGCUAGGGACAU